rnacentral:misc_RNA from 1 species
AACGCAUAUUGCGCUCGAGGCUUCGGCCGAGAGCAUGUCUGCCUCAGCGUCGGGUUAAUAUCACUCUCCCUUUACCCUCUGUGGUAUCGGAUAAGUAGAGUGGACCUGGCCGUUCCAGCUGUUAUAGUAACUUGGCCUUUAACACGGCUGCUGUACUAUAGCCAAGCGGCUGGAUCGGCUGAAGUGUAGAGGAUAACCGUGGACCCGCGAAGGGCCGCAACUGGGUAGGCUUUCAUUAGCUAAUCAUACUUUAGUUGUUGGUCUGGAUCCUAGCUGUUCGUCCCUCAACCAGGAACCUUAACCCGUACUUAUUAUCUCGACCUGAGCUCAGGCAAGGACACCCGCUGAACUUAA